rnacentral:lncRNA from 1 species
UGAUUCAAGUUAUUGUAUUGCGGAAGCGUUUGAAGACUAUUGAGUUGUAGAUUGAGAGUAAUCAAACAGAGUCUGUAAUUGUAUUACAGAGUGUGUGAUCGUGUGUAAUUAAACUAAACUAGAUGUGUUUAUAUAGAAGAACACCCAACGGCUAUGUUGGUUGGGUGUAUUUAAUUAUGGUAAUUAAUGUAUAUGGGAAUAUGAAAUAUGGAAUUAAUAUAUGAUGGAAUAUUUGAUAUGGGAAUAUGAAAUAAAGAAUGUGAAGAGUUGUGAUGAAAUAAGAGGGUGUUAAUUAUAAUUUUGUUGUAAUGUUAUAUGUGUGAUUUAUUUUAAUGUAGGGGUGUAUCUCUAAUAUCCUCCCUCAAAUCAAAACCGUCCAGGGUUUGAUUUAAAUAUGUAGGUGCAAUAGGGUGUUUGAGUGAAUUAAUUGGGUUUGAAUUUUUGGUGUGUAUAUCGAUUAGG